CGAAUGCUGACAUAAGUAACGAUAAAGCGGGUGAAAAGCCCGCUCGCCGGAAGACCAAGGGUUCCUGUCCAACGUUAAUCGGGGCAGGGUGAGUCGACCCCUAAGGCGAGGCCGAAAGGCGUAGUCGAUGGGAAACAGGUUAAUAUUCCUGUACUUGGUGUUACUGCGAAGGGGGGACGGAGAAGGCUAUGUUGGCCGGGCGACGGUUGUCCCGGUUUAAGCGUGUAGGCUGGUUUUCCAGGCAAAUCCGGAAAAUCAAGGCUGAGGC
rnacentral:rRNA from 1 species